CUCCCAUCAUCUCUAAUAAACUAAACGCGAAUGAAUAGAAAAUAAGCAAAUGUCACUUAUAAGACACCAAAACAAUUAAGAAACACGUUUGUUGAAUAUAAAGAAGUUAACGGGUUAAAUAUGAGCACCAAAUAUGUGGCAAGGAGUUUUUUUAAAGAAGCUCAGCAAUUUCCUGUUUAAACUUGGGAAAACAGAGACGUGUCCAGUAACACAGAUGCGUUAAAACAUGCAAACCAAUUGUCUCCUAACACAUAAAUAUCCCUUAUGAUUUUCUGUAUGGUUCAUUGUAAGAGUUAAAGCGGGUUAAAGAAAAAGGUAUGUUCAGCGGGGAAGGAGAGACUUGUUUUGAGAGGAGCUGAGGACUGACUGCCCAUGGUGGAUGGGCGGAGCAGCAAGCAUGCGCUGAGCUGGCAGAGACGGGGCUAGUCUGCUGCGCGCAAGGAGAGGGAGAUCACGGGCUGGCUCGGGUCUUCUCAGACGGACGCGGGGAGACCACCUUACCAAGCACGUCUCCUUGAGGACUAAAUAGGCGAGAACAGAAAAGAGCAAGAGAGAGAGUGAGAGACAGACAGGGAGAAAUAGAAUAAUAGAAAGCUAUAAGGACAACACCUCCGUUUGUAACCACAGGGAGUCGGCAUCUGGAAACAUAACGAGUGAAGAAGACCCCCCUCGCGACAUCUCUCGGCUCUGUGUCUCCCAGCGCACCCCUCCUAUAGCCUACUCCCUGGAGAACGACCACCCAUUGAACACCCUAAUUGACCAGCGUUGCCAUUAAGCGAUGUACUUUGAAUCCAAGACGAAACCGAACGCGUCAUUUUGAUGCACAUUCUACAACCAGUGAUCUUCAUUUUCCAAAACGGAACAGUUUAGACUGUGGACACAGUUUGGGGUGUUUAGCCUAAAUUUAACGGGUUUCUGGCGACGUGAAAUUAUCUCAUCCCCGGUAACUGACAUCAACAAUAUACGAUUAUCUCGUAUUGCUUGUGGAAGAGUCUUAUCAUCUUCGUUUAUUCCAUUUUCUAUUUUCUUUUUCAAACCAAUGGUCUGGGAACGGACCGCCUCACCCGACACAUAGUCUUUUAUUUAGACGUGUCAGCUUCGUCUAGUGCUUUGAACGAGGACAACAUUACAGAAUUGCAAGGGGAAAUUGUCAUCGAGAGGCUUUUGCACCAAAAUACUGAGUGGAAAGUUUGUUGCCGGAGAGGGAAUAAAUCGGAGACAUCUCGGCCAUAUCCACGGGAUUUUUCCCUAAGACUCUCAGGAGGCCAGAGAAGCAGACAGAGGGAGAUCUACUCUGCUGGCAGAGGCUUGAUGAAGUUACCACAUGUACCCAGACUCUCAGGAGGCCAGAGAAGCAGACAGAGGGAGAUCUACUCUGCUGGUAGAGGCUUGAUGAAGUUACCACAUGUACCCAGACUCUCAGGAGGCCAGAGAAGCAGACAGAGGGAGAUCUACUCUGCUGGCAGAGGCUUGAUGAAGUUACCACAUGUACCCAGACUCUCAGGAGGCCAGAGAAGCAGACAGAGGGAGAAGGGGAGGGAGACGGAGCCAGGAAAUUUGUGGCCCACUUUCUGUGAGUGUGAUAAGCUCAAUCAAGCACUGUAAAGUUUAAAUUAUUAGUAUUCAAAUACUAUUUGAAUGCAGGUCUGGUAUUCUUAUCCAUCAUCUACCUCAUUGGUCAGGUUACAACACACUCUUAUUCAAACAUCAUGUGAUUUUGUGUGUGUUUAUCAGUCUAUGCCUGGAGUAGGUAUGAAGCAGGUGAUUGCCUUGUAGUGUUGACAUAUGUGGGGUUAGACAGAUAUAAACUGUUGGAAUCUGUCAGGACAUAGAACACACACGUACACACGUACACACACACACACACACACACUUUCAAGGUGGGAGACACAGGUCACUGUAGGACAUUACUCUGAAUUAGAUAUCAAACACAUGAAAAUGAUGAACUACACUGAGGGAAAAGAGUAUUUGAUCCCCUGCUGAUUUUGUACGUUUGCCCACUGACAAAGAAAUGAUCAGUCUAUAAUUUUAAUGGUAGGUUUAUUUGAACAGUGAGAGACAGAAUAACAACAACAAAAAUCCAGAAAAACACAUGUCAAAAAUGUUAUAAAUUGAUUUGCUUUUUAAUGAGGCAAAUAAGUAUUUGACCCCCUCUCAAUCAGAAAGAUUUCUGGCUCCCAGGUGUCUUUUA
rnacentral:lncRNA from 1 species